rnacentral:rRNA from 1 species
UUUCCGGUUGAUCCUGCCGGACCCGACUGCUAUCAGAGUGGGACUAAGCCAUGCGAGUUAACACAGCAAUGUGUGGCAUACGGCUCAGUAACACGUAGUCAACAUGCCCAGGGGACGUGGAUAACCUCGGGAAACUGAGGAUAAACCGCGAUAAGUCACUACUUCUGGAAUGGGUAAUGACUUAAAUCUAUAUGGCCCCUGGAUUGGACUGCGGCCGAUCAGGCUGUUGGUGAGGUAAUGGCCCACCAAACCUGUAACCGGUACGGGCUCUGAGAGGAGGAGCCCGGAGAUGGGCACUGAGACAAGGGCCCAGGCCCUAUGAGGCGCAGCAGGCGCGAAACCUCUGCAAUAGGCGAAAGCCUGACAGGGUUACUCUGAGUGAUUUCCGUUAAGGAGAUCUUUUGGCACCUCUAAAAAUGGUGCAGAAUGAGGGGUGGGCAAGUCUGGUGUCAGCCGCCGCGGUAAUACCAGCACCCCGAGUGGUCGGGACGAUUAUUGGGCCUAAAGCAUCCGUAGCCGGUCCUACAAGUCCUCCGUUAAAUCCAGCCGCUCAACGGAUGGGCCGCGGAGGAUACUACAGGACUAGGAGGCGGGAGAGGC